CAUCUGAAUAGUUUAUUAAAAACAUUACACUUUCAUUGUAAAAUUAGAAUUUUUUUCUUUCAAAU
rnacentral:tRNA from 1 species